GUUUUAAACAUAAUCUAUGCUGUGGCUCUGUCAUCUGUUCUGGCAAAAACAAUUACAGUUUUAGUAGCCUUUUUAGUUGUUAAGCCUGGGAGCAAAUUCAGGAUAUUUUUGAGAUCCAGGGUAUCCAUCUUUAUAGUUAUGUUCUGUUGCUUUGGUGAAGUUGUAAUCUGCUUGUGGUGGUUAACAUCCUGGCCUCCAUUCCCAGAUAAAGACUCAAAGACAGCAGUUGCUAAGCUAAUACUUCAUUGUAAUGUUGGUUAUUUUCUUUUGUUUUAU